AACCCGGCGAUCGAAAAGAUUCUUAGGAACGCCGUACCAGCCGCGUCUCUCAGGACAGCAGGCCCCUGUCCUUCUGUCGGGCGCCGCUCAGCCGUGCCCUCCGCCCCUCAGGUUCUUUUUCUAAUUCCAAAUAAACUUGCAAGAGGACUAUGAAAGAUUAUGAUGAACUUCUCAAAUAUUAUGAAUUACAUGAAACUAUUGGGACAGGUGGCUUUGCAAAGGUCAAACUUGCCUGCCAUAUCCUUACUGGAGAGACGGUAGCUAUAAAAAUCAUGGAUAAAAACACACUAGGGAGUGAUUUGCCCCGGAUCAAAACGGAGAUUGAGGCCUUGAAGAACCUGAGACAUCAGCAUAUAUGUCAACUCUACCAUGUGCUAGAGACAGCCAACAAAAUAUUCAUGGUUCUUGAGGGUAACAAGGAUUACCAUCUACAGACAUGCUGUGGGAGUCUGGCUUAUGCAGCACCUGAGUUAAUACAAGGCAAAUCAUAUCUUGGAUCAGAGGCAGAUGUUUGGAGCAUGGGCAUACUGUUAUAUGUUCUUAUGUGUGGA
rnacentral:sRNA from 1 species